UAGAAAGAAAAAGGAAAUGAAAGUUGCUAAAAAAAUGGAAGUUGCUGAAAAAAGAAAUCAAAAAGAAAAGUAAAAAGGGAUUAUAUAGGCUUUUAUUUAGUGGCCCAUGUACAAAGCCAUUCAAUCAGCCCAAACCCACGCACCGCCGCAUAGUCUUUCCCCUUCCUCGCAGCGCCGACGCUCAAUCUUCUGUUCCUUCCCCACUCGCGCUCAGCGGCGCUCGGACCCUCAGCGACGGAGGGGCAGUCCCAGGCUCGGCGGCGGCAUCAGCGGCUCCGCCUCCCGCCUCUCGCCAGUCGCAGCGCUCGCCUCCGUCCUCCGCGCACCAGCCGGCGACCCUGCGUCCAUAACGUCUGUGAUCAAGCCGGGCCUCAUGAUCUUGUCACUUACAGCACACUCACCCUUCAGCAUCUUAGCGACCAUUGACAUGGAGGGCCUGAUCUUGGGGCUAUCCUGGGUGCACAGAAGACCUAUUUUCAGCAACUGACGUGCUUCUUCGGUGUCAAAAUCAUUUUUCAGGGUCCUGUCAAUGAUGCUCUCAAGAUCAUCGGACUCAUAGAGUGUCCAGACCUGACAAAAUAGAAGAAACUUCAGAUGAUUUUAAUCAAAGUCUAAGAUCUAAUAGCACUAGCACUUCAGGAGGAACUGCUCAUCAAAAGGUAAUCUGGGAUCAGUGUGGCAUCUGCCACUGACAAUCUCCAGCAGCAGUACACCAAAGCUGUAGACAUCGGCCUUUUUGGUCAGCUGCCCUCGGAUGGCAUACUCUGGUG